GUCGGCGUCGUCACGCUCGAAACGGCGGCGGUGCCCGUCACGACCGAACUGACGGGCCGCACAAGCGCCUUCCUCGAUGCACAGGUCCGCGCGCGCGUCGACGGCAUCGUGCUGCGCCGCGAAUUUACCGAAGGCGGCCUCGUCAAGGCGGGUCAGCGUCUGUACAAGAUCGA
rfam:Burkholderia sp. RPE64 DNA, chromosome 1, complete genome.